GCGGGCAUGGUGUAGUGGUAACACGCGACCUUCCCAAGGUUGAGACCACGGGUUCGAGCCCCGUUGCCCGCUCCC
rnacentral:tRNA from 1 species